AGUGAACGCUGGCGGUAGGCCUAACACAUGCAAGUCGAACGGCAGCACAGUAAGAGUUUGCUCUUACGGGUGGCGAGUGGCGGACGGGUGAGGAAUACAUCGGAAUCUACUUUUUCGUGGGGGAUAACGUAGGGAAACUUACGCUAAUACCGCAUACGACCUACGGGUGAAAGCAGGGGAUCUUCGGACCUUGCGCGAUUGAAUGAGCCGAUGUCGGAUUAGCUAGUUGGCGGGGUAAAGGCCCACCAAGGCGACGAUACGUAGCUGGUCUGAGAGGAUGAUCAGCCACACUGGAACUGAGACACGGUCCAGACUCCUACGGGAGGCAGCAGUGGGGAAUAUUGGACAAUGGGCGCAAGCCUGAUCCAGCCAUACCGCGUGGGUGAAGAAGGCCUUCGGGUUGUAAAGCCCUUUUGUUGGGAAAGAAAAGCAGCAGGUUAAUACCCCGCUGUUCUGACGGUACCCAAAGAAUAAGCACCGGCUAACUUCGUG
rnacentral:rRNA from 1 species